rfam:Enterocytozoon bieneusi H348 ctg01_2733, whole genome shotgun sequence.
GGACUAAGGAAUGACGAGCACUACAGAGUGAUGGUGCUAUUUACUCACGCGGAAACUACCAGGUCAGUCAUCGUGAUCGAUACGUGAGAAUGGCAGGAGUGGUGCAUGGCCGUUGGAAAUUGAUGGGGCGACCUUUAGCUUAAAUGCUUAAACCAGUGAGACCUCCUUGACAGGUGUUCUGUAACACAGGAGGGUGGAGGCUAUAACAGGUCCGUGAUGCCCUUAGAUAUCCUGGGCAGCAAGCGCAAUACAAUAUCUCUUCAGUAGACAAAGUGAUUUGAGAUGAGUAGGAUCUACGUUUGUAAAUACGUAGUGAAUAAGGAAUUCCUAGUAACGGUGCCUCAUCAAGGCAUGGUGAAUGUGUCCCUGUUCUUUGUACACACCGCCCGUCACUAUUUCAGAUGGUCAUAGGGAUGAAGAGCUUCGGCUCUGAAUAUCUAUGGCUAGAUAAAGUACAAGUCGUAACAAGGUUUCAGUUGGAGAACCAGCUGAAGGAUCAUUU